rnacentral:rRNA from 1 species
UUCCGGUUGAUCCCGCCGGACCCCACUGCUAUCGAGGUGGGACUUAGCCAUGCUAGUCGAACGAACAGAACUAUGUCUGUAAGUGGCAUACUGCUCAGUAACACGUAGCUAACCUACCCUUAGGACGUCGAUAACCCCGAGAAAUUGGGGCUAAUAGGCGAUAGAUGUAUUGUCCUGGAAUGGUAAUACGUCCAAAGGUAUCCCAUACAUGUUUGGUAUACGCCUAAGGAUGGGGCUGCGGCCGAUCAGGCUGUUGGUGAGGUAAUGGCUCACCAAACCUUUGACCGGUAUGGGCCAUGAGAGUGGUAGCCCAGAGAUGGACACUGAGACAAGGGUCCAGGCCCUACGGGGCGCAGCAGGCGCGAAACCUCCUCAAUGCACUAACGUGCGAAGGGGUUACCUCGAGUGCCACCUGAAGAAGGUGGCUUUUCCUUGGUCUAAAAAGCCUAGGGAAUAAGAGGGGGGCAAGACUGGUGUCAGCCGCCGCGGUAACACCAGCCCCUCGAGUGGUGGGGAUGAUUAUUUGGCCUAAAGCGUCCGUAGCCGGCCGGGUAAGUUUCCCGUUAAAUCCAGCGUCUCAAGCGUUGGACUGCGGGAAAUACUGCCUGGCUAGAGAGUGGGAGAGGUCAGCGGUAUUCUGGGGGUAGGGGCGAAAUCCUUUGAUCCCCGGAGGACCACCAGUGGCGAAGGCUGCUGACUAGAACACGUCUGACGGUCAGGGACGAAAGCUGGGGUAGCGAACCGGAUUAGAUACCC